rnacentral:rRNA from 1 species
UGGCUCAGAACGAACGCUGGCGGCAGGCUUAACACAUGCAAGUCGAACGCGUGUAGCAAUACACGAGUGGCGCACGGGUGAGUAACGCGUGGAUAUCUGCCUUUUGGUUCGGAAUAACCCCGGGAAACUGGGGCUAAUACCGGAUGGUUCCUACGGGAUAAAGAUUUAUCGCCAAAAGAUGAGUCCGCGUCCGAUUAGCUAGUUGGUGGGGUAAAGGCCUACCAAGGCGACGAGCGGUAGCUGGUCUGAGAGGACGAUCAGCCACACUGGGACUGAGACACGGCCCAGACGAAUACGGGAGGCAGCAUGUGG